CUGUAAUGUUUCGCCGCCCGAUUGGGUCAUGAUGUCUCAUUCUCUGAGACUAAGCUACUAACAUUACCAUGGCAACUACCAGCAACGGGCGGAGUAUACAUACUGCCUCCAGUUUACACCGGCACGAGCAUGCCCAGUAUACGAGAAUGUUGAGAUAUGCGGUUUGGGCGUGUUAGUU